rnacentral:snRNA from 1 species
AUACUCAGGUUUCUCUUCAGAUCGUAUAAAUCGUUUGCCUUUUACUAAAGGUUUCUGUAGAGAGUCUAUUCCAGGCUGCCAUGAUAGACUAAGAUUUUAAGAGCAUUAGAGAUGCAGGCCU